UACAGAGACUGCAAGCGUUAUUCGGAUUCACUGGGCGUAAAGGGUGCGCAGGCGGCCGAGUGUGUGAGGCGUGAAAGCCCGGGGCUUAACCCCGGAAUUGCACCUCAAACUACACGGCUAGAGCAUUGGAGAGUGUAGCAGAAUUCAUGGUGUAGCAGUGAAAUGCGUAGAUAUCAUGAGGAAUACCAGAGGCGAAGGCGGCUACCUGGACAAUUGCUGACGCUCAGGCACGAAAGCGUGGGGAGCAAAAGGG
rnacentral:rRNA from 1 species